AUGCCCAGUGGCUGUGUACGAGGCUGAAGGUGCCCAGUGGCUGUGUACGAGGCUGAAGGUGCCCCAGUGGCUGUGUACGAGGCUGAAGGUGCCCAGUGGCUGGGUACGAGGCUGAAGGUGCCCAGUGGCUGUGUACGAGGCUGAAGGUGCCCAGGUGGCUGUGUACGAGGCUGAAGAUGCCCAGUGGCUGUGUACGAGGCUGAAGGUGCCCAGUGGCUGUGUACGAGGCUGAAGGUCCUCAGUGGCUGUGUACGAGGCUGAAGGUGCCCAGUGGCUGUGUACGAGGCUGAAGGUGCCCAGUGGCUGUGUACGAGGCUGAAGGUGCCCAGUGGCUGUGUACGAGGCUGAAGGUCCUCAGUGGCUGUGUACGAGGCUGAAGGUGCCCAGUGGCUGUGUACGACGCUGAAGGUACCCAGUGGCUGUGUACGAGGCUGAAGGUGCCCCAGUGGCUGUGUACGAGGCUGAAGGUGCCCAGUGACUGUGUAUGACGCUGAAGGGGGAGGGGGCCCAGCGGCUGUGUACGAGGCUGAAGGGGGCCCAGUGGCUGUGUACGAGGCUGAAGGUGCCCAGUGGCUGGGUACGAGGCUGAAGGUGCCCAGUGGCUGUGUACGAGGCUGAAGGUCCUCAGUGGCUGUGUACGAGGCUGAAGGUGCCCAGUGGCUGUGUACGAGGCUGAAGGUGCCCAGUGGCUGUGUACGAGGCUGAAGGUGCCCAGUGGCUGUGUACGAGGCUGAAGUUGCCCAGUGGCUGUGUACGAGGCUGAAGGUGCCCAGUGGCUGUGUACGAGGCUGAAGGUGCCCAGUGGCUGUGUACGAGGCUGAAGGUGCCCAGUGGCUGUGUACGACGCUGAAGGUGCCCAGUGGCUGUGUACGAGGCUGAAGGUGCCCAGUGGCUGUGUACGAGGCUGAAGGUCCUCAGUGGCUGUGUACGAGGCUGAAGGUGCCCCAGUGGCUGUGUACGAGG